CGUGGACCCCGGGCGCCGACAGUGCGGACCCGGAGCAGGCGGCGUGGACCGGGGCGCGGGCGAGAAAACUCAAUCUAAAACUGAUACCUUCACACUGGAAUAAAUUGAGUCCAUCUGAAUUUCAAAAUGAAA